rnacentral:siRNA from 1 species
AUAUUUAUGUUUCAAUACCGAUGC